CCUACGGGUGGCAGCAGUAGGGAAUCUUCGGCAAUGGACGAAAGCCUGACCGAGCAACGCCGCGUGAGUGAAGAAGGUUUUCGGAUCGUAAAACUCUGUUGGUAGGGAAGAACGUUGGUGAGCGUGUAAAGCUAAUCAAGUGACGGUAACUACACAGAAAGGGACGGCUAACUACGUGCCACCAGCCGCGGUAAUACGAAGGUCCCGAGCGUUAUCCGGAUUUAUUGGGCGUAAAGCGGGGCCAGGUGGUUUAUUAAGGCGCGUCUAAAAGGCAGUGGCUAAACUAUUGUAUGCAUUGGAAACUGGUAGACUUGAGUGCAGGAGAGGAGAGUGGAAUUCCAUGUGUAGCGGUGAAAUGCGUAGAUAUAUGGAGGAACACCGGUGGCGAAAGCGGCUCUCUGGCCCGUAACUGACGCUGAGGCUCGAAAGCGUGGGGAGCAAACAGGAUUAGAUACCCUUGUAGUC
rnacentral:rRNA from 1 species